rnacentral:lncRNA from 1 species
AUUUCUUACAAACUCCAUUAGAGUUAUAAUCAAACUUUAUUGUCUAUGUUUGUAUAAUCAAACUUUAAGGUAUACCAAUAAAUGUUGUGAUAUCAAAUAUACCUCUUGUGUAGAUUCCUUUCUUUCUCUCACGUUUUUCUCUUUCUGUUUCUGUAUUCUAUGACACAAGAUUCCACCACAAAAGUUAUUUUAUCAACCAUCCUUGUUUUCAAUUUCAAUUGCUUUCAGUUGCUUGGCCGAUAAAAGUCAUUGUCUUUUGCCCAAAUAUUAAUACGUUUCCUUUUUCUUCUAUUUUCCAUAUAGAAAAUUUUGGGAUUUGGUUACGGCAGAACCUCAC